GCCCUCAGCAGUGAGAUGCCGAAAAGAACAGAGGCUUGGCAUAAAUAAGCCAGCUUGCUGGGGUCAGUGGAAGAAGCCUUGCUGUCCCCAGGAAGCGGCUCCUACGCAAUGGAUACAGAGGCUCGGCCAGAGACAGAGCCGACAGGCAGAAGGAAGGAAGAGCCUUCCAGACCCACGGAGCUGGAGAGACUGCCGUGUGAGCCAAGAGGAUCUAUGCACUGGGUAGCAGCAGGCUCUGGCUGACUGAAUGGCAGUGUAUAUACAGCCAGCCUCCAUCAGCCCUUUGGGGAACCAUGAGUCACGGCAUAUGUAGCCUCAGGCGUGUGGAUUCUGCCAGUCCACAUGCCAUGCUUUCUUCACAGCACUGGGAGCGUUAAGUACAGGGAAGGCAUUGGGCACAGGGCAGCAUGCAAGGGGCAGGGCAGGCAAAGCAGACUGCUCCUGGCUGGACACUAUAACCUGGCAGUGGGGAGGACUGGAGAAGUGGCCCCAAGCAAGCCCCUGAAGCCAUAAAGUCCUAAGGCCAUUUUAUUUAAUGAGCAGACUUGACUAAAAUAAUGGAAAGCUCACACCUGUAAUCCCAGCACUGAAGAUGCAGAGAGAGUUGGGUUGCUGAGUUCAAGGCUUGUCUAGGUUGACCAAAGCAAAGCAAAGCAAAGCACAGCAAACAAUCCAUUAUCUCCCUCCCGAAUGAAUCGUCACAGCAGCCCAGCCCCUACUGAAGGCUCCUGUCCCCCCGUCCACAGGCCUGCUCUCUGCUACCCCUAACCUAGAAAGCACACCAUAUGCAAAGCUCAGACUUCGGCCUGAGAAAUGUCCUUGCACUUUUACCUUCCUGACAGGUGAGGAUCUUCCACAACACCUUCUGUGCUCUCAACAUGCCUGGCCACCACAGGUGCUGCAUACAGCCGUCGCCUGCCACUGUUCUUCAGUGUGGAGCAGGGUUUACUGGCUACCUUCAGCUGCUAUGUAAUAGAGAACCCAGGUGCCAAACAUGUUUAGCACUAGCUAGUUCCAAUGUCUGGGCUCCCUGAAAACAUGAGAAAGAGGCAGAAGGUAGCUAAAAAGGGGUCUAAGAAAGAAAGGCUGAUUGAUGUGAGACUGGGAGAAGGCAGGGAGGGGCACUAAAGGUCACUUCUUGCUCUACACCUUUUCUGCCUGUCUAAGACAGGGUCUUGCCUUUUUAGCCCAGAACUUCUGAACUUACGGACCUUCCCGCCUCAGUCUCUGGAGUGCUAGAAAUCUAGGCCUGUACCACCGUAUCAUAUCCUGCAGCUUCUCUCAGGAUUCAACCUAAUGCUUUUAAAUCCUGAGACAAAGCCGGGGUGGGGAGCAGGACACGAUUAAGCUGGGUGUGGUGGCACUUGUCAGAAGUCCUACCUACACUAAUAGGCUAGUCACUUUAGCGCAGGUGUAAGGCCAGUCUGGGUAACUAGCAAAACCCUGCCUCAAGGCAAACCUACACAGAUAAAGAACAAAGCCGUAAGUAGCAAAAGACAGUUACUGGACAGCUAGCUCACUUACUUAUUCCAUAAAUAAUUCACUGAAGAUUUAUUCUGUCACAGACAACAGGCCAAGCAGCCAGGCUAAAAUUAAAAAAAAAAAAUUGAUAGUGGGGAACCAUUUAGGUUUUAUGGUAAGGCCUUCUACUAAUGAUCUCAUUUAGUUCUCACAAUAGCCAGCAAAGUGUUCUGAACCACCAGGCCACACUACUGCUUCACUGUGGUGUCACCCCGGGAGCCCUCCUGGGAGCCUGAGAACAGCCACCAAAAGGGGCUCUGUGUGGCGGCACACACCUGUAAUCACUGCACUUGGGAGGUGGAGGCAAGAGGAUCGAUCAGAAGUUCAAGGCCAACCUGAGCUGCACGAGGUCUUGUCUCAAUCCUCUCCCCACCCACCCGCAAAGGCUCCCCAAGAGGCAUGAAUGGGACGUGUGGAGGACAGCCCUGUGACUUAGUGACGCCACAAAAAGUCAGUACUGUGUGAACAUUGCCACUGUGCUCUGUAGCCGGCUCCCACACAGGAGCGCUCUGGAGAAAUCCCAUGAGCAGUACAUUUUCUCCAGUUGUGUCCUGUGGACCAGGCCGGGGCCCUUGCUCAGGCUCGAGGCCCAGCCAGGGAUGGAGACACUGCACUUAGCUGGAAAAUGAGCGGAAGUUGGUGGGGCCACAAUGGAUGCACUGCAGUUGCCCUGACUCCAGAAGCUCAGACAGGAAGGCUCGGCUCACCAACCAGAGCCAGAGGUGGCUCCUACAGGAAGGGUUAAAUAGGAGUCUGCCAAUAGAAAAGGCAGGGAGGGGAAGGAAAUGGCUUCUUUCUCUCCUGAAAACCUGAUUAAAACAAAGCUGUAUGGC
ensembl:antisense Sap30bpos SAP30 binding protein, opposite strand